GACGAACGCUGGCGGCGUGCUUAACACAUGCAAGUCGAACGCUGAAGCUCAGCUUUUGUUGGGUGGAUGAGUGGCGAACGGGUGAGUAACACGUGAGUAACCUGCCUCCUUCUUUGGGAUAACGCCCGGAAACGGGUGCUAAUACUGGAUAUUCACUGGUCUUCGCAUGGGGGUUGGUGGAAAGGGUUUUUCUGGUGGGGGAUGGGCUCGCGGCCUAUCAGCUUGUUGGUGGGGUGAUGGCCUACCAAGGCUUUGACGGGUAGCCGGCCUGAGAGGGUGACCGGUCACAUUGGGACUGGGAGACGGCCGAGACUCGUACGGGAGGCAGCAGUGGGGAAUAUUGCACAAGGGGCGCAAGGCUGAUGCAGCGACGCCGCGUGAGGGAUGGAGGCCUUCGGGUUGUGAACCUCUUUCGCUCAUGGUCAAGCCGCAACAAUGGUUGUGGUGAGGGUAGUGGGUAAAGAAGCGCCGGCUAACUACGUG
rnacentral:rRNA from 1 species